rnacentral:rRNA from 1 species
UACAGGGGGGGCAAGCGUUGUUCGGAAUUACUGGGCGUAAAGGGCUCGUAGGCGGCCAACUAAGUCAGACGUGAAAUCCCUCGGCUUAACCGGGGAACUGCGUCUGAUACUGGAUGGCUUGAGUUCGGGAGAGGGAUGCGGAAUUCCAGGUGUAGCGGUGAAAUGCGUAGAUAUCUGGAGGAACACCGGUGGCGAAGGCGGCAUCCUGGACCAAUAUUGACGCUGAGGAGCGAAAGCCAGGGGAGCAAACGGGG